GGGAGGGGACGGUGGCGGGGGCCGGUCCUGCGGCACCUCCCGGGGCCGCCCGGGCAGGGAGGGCCCGCCCCUGCUCCCCCCGCAGCUGAGGGCCGGGAGGCGGCGGCCCCGCAGCGCUCGCCCCGGUGGCGGGAGGGGCCGCACCGCCGCUCGGCGCGGUGCCCGGGGCAGGGAGGUGAUGAUUAACCUGCGGGCCAUCGAAUACCUGCCUAAAGUCGCGCCCAGGGUGGGGUUUAACCUUGUGCGAGGCUCGGUGCCUCCCGUGUGAUUCUGCCCGAGAGCCUGCAGCGACCAGUUCUGCUGCUGCCGCCGAAGCGCUGCGGGGAUGCGCAGCUCCCUGUUGAAAAUCUCUGCUCUAAAUCUCAACCUAGAGCUCGCCUCGCAGUCGUUUUUGGCGGUUUCAGGCUCAAGAGGUCGAGAUGAUGGUGGGGUCUCGGCGAGCGUCUCUGCACCAGCAGCCUCGGGCUGCAGUUGCUCGAGUAUUUGUGGCCGGCGCUUGAAUCCAUGCUGGCCCCUUUUCCUCGAGCUGAGCUGCAAGGAGCCCGGCAGCUGCGGCAUUUAGUUCAGUUACUUCAGAUGAUCUGUAAAUUUUCAAUAAUGGCAAUACAUUCAUUCUGCCAUUUGGAGGAGCCUGUGCCACAGAAUAAUGAUCUGAAGAAAGCUCACUUAUUUGCAAGGAAGAGUCUUCAUUUGGGAAUUAGUAUUGAUGCAGCUCAAGGGUGCUUUUUCAAGUCCAGACUCUUUCAGCAGAACUGUUACUUUCCUAACACAACCUCUGGUACAAGGAUAAAUUGGGUUUUUGUCAAAGAACAGAGUCCUGUAUCUGAAGAGUAAGAAUGUAAGGUCCUUGACAUUCAGUGGGAUGAGAAUCUCAGAACUGACUACUGGGGACUCCCAGGCUACAGAUCAGGAGGAGAGUCUGUUGCUUUGUCUGCAAUACAGGUAUGGGAGUUUGAGGGUCUUCCAAGAGAGGAUAUUUCAUUCCUGACAUGCUCACUAAGAAGAGGUGAUGAAGCCUAUAUAGUGCUUUGAAGAUUAACUUCAUUAUCAUGCUGCAAAAUGGUAAAUGUGUAUGUUUUGGAAUAACAUCAAAAAGUGCAGUGAAGUUGAUUUUUAAGGAGUAGAUUUAAGUAUUGCAUCCUUCAAGCUGAUUUCUGUAAGUUAAAAGUAUUUUAGAUUAUUUUUUACAGAAUUUCAGGUUAUUGAGAAAUUAUAAUUUCUGUAUAUAAUAGACUACAUUUGAUGGCAGGUCCUAAAGCAACCUGUUAACUAUUUGCAAUGAGAUAAUUUUUCUAAAUAGAAAUAUCAUGUUUGUUUAAGAAGAUAUUCUAUAUUAGUAUGCCCUUUCCAUUAAGUUAGGAUAGCAUGCUACACAAGAAUUGUAGUGUUGAGUUUUAUUUUCAAUUUUCUUCUUCUGAGAUUCAUCAACUAGCAAACAAAAACCUCCGACUUUUAAGCACCUCACUUUUCAACACAGACUGAUCCCUGAGUUGAGAACAUUUAUGCUAUUAAAAAAACCAUUUUGGUAGGUGUGAGUUGCUUGUCAGAAAUCCGUUCCGAAGCUUGAGUGCAAAGGAAGCAGGGAACUAAUGAUGAAUAAGAAUGGAUGUCUUGAGGAUAACAAUGGAUAUGGCAUCUUCAAAAGCUGUGGCAUUCUGGUCCUAAUCUUCUGCAACUGGAUUUGUUCAAAUGGAUCUUGAUAGCCUGGGGGCCUGACAAAGUUCAUGGGACUCUGGUGACUGCAAGUUCUCACUCUGAAGAUCUGAUUGUAGGCCUGAACCAAAAUUUCUGUUUUGUUCUCCUGUCUAUUUGCUUCUUAAAUGAUGAAAGUUAUCCUUUAAAAUGGUGUUGUCUUUGAGUCUUAUGCACAUCCACUUCAGAAGUGUUCAGACACUGUGUGCUUGGGAUGUUUUCAGACAUUGUUAAAAUAUUUCAGUUCUGUUGUGUGCCUAAACCUCAUGAUUGCUCUGAUUAUUGUGUUCGUUUUUUACAUGUAGUGGUUCUCUACCUAUAAUGGAGGAGAUCAUCACCUGGGUUUUCAAUCAUUGUGGUAUUUCUCUUAACUCAGAUUUUUAAGUCACAGUAACUGUUGAAACUGUUCAGGUUAUUUUUAAGGAUUUUUGCUGGACAGAAAGUAUAAUUUAUUUUGCAAACUUGGCAGCCUAGUAUUACUGAAAGCUUUCAGUAUGAUGAUACUCUGAUGUAAUAAAAUAAGUAGGAAAAGACAUUACCUUUUACUAGCUCUACUGUUACUUUUCUAUUCCUGUGGCUGUGGUUACACAACACACAACUGAGAGUGAAGAUUAUUUUUAUUUAUAUGAGCCACUGAAUGCCUUGCUGUUCCCUGUCCUAUUCCAUGUUGCAGCUUCGCUGAAUACUAAAGUUAUAGCCCUGAUAGAAGCUGUAUAAAGGACUUUUGAAAAAUCACAAAUAGAAUGUGAGAGGAAAAAUAGAUGUAUUCUAUGUUAGUAUUUAUAUUGUAAUACUUUUAAAGCAAGUAUAUAGCAGUAUAUAAUAUUUAAGAGAUUAAAAGAUCCAAAACUUUCUUUGUAUAUAGAGAAUCAAUUUUUUUUUGUUUUUGUAGGCUUAUUAUAAUGAUAUUAAGGAGCUUCAUAGUAUAUUUGAUGAAUUUUUGCAUAUUCCCAGAACAGAAGAGCACCAUUGUCCUGUUAGACCAAGGAGAAAACUGAGCCACGUGUUUAGUCAGUAGUAAAGUCAAUGAUAUUAAAUGGAUUCUCCUGCCUUUUAACCUUGUGCCACUGGCUCCAUUUUUCCCUCAAGACCCAAACCUUCCAUUAUCAUCAUCUGCUUUGCAUUUCUACGUGAAAGGCCCAAGGUGUUUCUGUUUGGACUCUCAGAAAACAAGGAAGAAGAGGUUGAUUGGCCAUCUGCCAAGGUGUGAGGUCUGACUUGCUCCUUGCUCACGGGGGCUGCUGGUGUAGCAGAGGCAGAAGUGAGUGUUCUGUGUGGCAUUCAACUGCCUUAACCACAUGCCCAUCGCUCUCUUCCUGUAGUUGUGUCUUGUUCUCAGCAUAACUCCUAAAGACAACACGUAUACCAACCAAUAAAUAAUCUAAUUUGAUGCACAGCCCCGAUUCACUUCCUGAGCUGUGUCCUGCACACACGGAGCAGUCCUGUGGAAAAACGCAGCACAGUGCACGAGGCCAAAGAGUAAGGCUGUUUAGUGUUUAAACUUUGCAAUGAAGCAGUGUUCUUUUAAUGUCACUUAUUAUAGCUAUAGCUCAAUUUGUUUUUAACAAAGAACAAGAGAAAAAUGAAAGCUUUCAGAACUGAUGGUAACUGAUUCCCUGUCUAGCUUGUGAAUGUGACUAUCCAGCCCAGUGAAAUGCAACAUCAGCUGAUGGAAGGAGGCUGGCCACCUCCAGGGAGGAAGGGAAGCAAAAAGGAUGGGUGCUUAACACCAUGGGUGUAUCCAAUUUGCUUCCAAGUCUUAGGGACUAUUUGUAGUGUUGACCCCAGCUCUUUAGCUUUUGUUUUCUCUUCAGCAUUCCCACCCCCAAAAGUUAGCUCCUCCAGAGCUUCCCAGCGCAGUAGAUGUUGGGGGUGUUGCUGUAGUCUGCUAAUAAUUUAAAUGAGGAAACAGAAAUCAAAAGUGGGCUUUUCUCCUAUGUUUUCCUAUUGAAAAAUAAGAGGAGAUGCUCCCAGUUCUCUCCACAAUGAAUUUCAGGGGCUUUUCUUCUGAUCCUUGAUCUCACAAAUAGAUGGCAAAAACUUUAAUAAUAGAAAAUGCUGCUCUUGGCUUAGCCCUUUAAUCUUCUUCCCAGUCAAAUUGUAGUGACCUGCUGUGUUUGUAAGCUACCAAGGAUGGUGUGUAGGCUCCAGUGCCAGGGCAAUUGUGUUGGGAACACAAGCUCAUCUUGUUAUCUUUUAUGUUAGAAUUUGGUAGUGUAUUAAGUUUUUUUUCAGGGAAACCUUGCCAGACCAUGGUCUGAGUUUCCGUUUCUGUUAAUGUCUGCUUUGUCUAUGCAUGGUGCUUGAGAUCUGGUCACCAAGCCUAGUGAUUUGCUAUGAGGAAAACAAAACAAUCUCCUACUUUGCUUUUGCAUGUUUUUCUCUGGGAUAUGCAGUCUUGUCUCACAAGUAAUGCAGCAAGUUCCUGUAAAAAGAACAGGUAGGAAUACUGUUAAGGAAAAUUUGGUCAACCCAUUCACUGAAAUUUAUAAAAAUCAAAAUAUUUGCAAAAGUAUUCACUGGCAUUUUGUUGCAAAAUAAAAAUGAAAUCCCUGAUUUUAGUACUGAUUUAUUUUUUUUUAAAUAAGGAUCAGUCUUAACAUUUCAUAGCUGUGGAGAAAUGGUGGGAAUGGGACAAAACAGUCUUGAUACGAAGAAUCACCUUAAGUCUUAAUAACACUUUGUAUCAGGAAACCAUGGCCUGAAAUUGCUGCCUGUCAUAUCAGAUAAUAUUAUCACUGAUUUAUUAUGUUACUUCAUCUUACUUGCUUUUUGUAAUCUUCUGACAGGGAUCACAGUUUUUUCUGUGCUUUGGGUGUCUUCUUUUGGUUUGGGGCUGUGGUUUUUUACCAGCACCUAACAGAUCAGAGUCCUGACUCAUGAUUUGGCUUCCAGGUACUAAGAUAAUACAAGUAGUAAUCAUGCCUGCUGCUAAAAAUUUUCUACCUUAUUUCAUUUGCAUUUGUUUGCCUUCAGCUUCCAGUCAUUGAUUCUUGUUAUGCCUUCUCCGAUGGAUUAAAGAGCUCUUUAGGACUUGCUAUUUUCUCCACAGGAAGGUGCUUUUAACCUGUAAUCAAGUUACUUUUCAGUAUUAUUUUUUUUUGUUUGUUUGAUUUAAGAAAAAGCUAAACAGACUGAGCUUUUUAGGGUUCUCAUUAUUUAGGGUUCUAAAUUUUUCAUAUUCCUGGAUGAUUUUUGUGGCUCUUUUCUGUCCAUAAAACUGUGUGUUACUAGUCACAUACACAAAAAAAAUUACUUCUCUAGUUCCUCUUGUGUUAGUAUGGUUAGAAAUUGAUGUUAUUGCAAGGUCAGAUUAAAAAAACCCUAAUAUGACUUCUACACAUCUGAGUGUUGUAGGUAUUAGAGGACAGAAAAGGAUGGAUGAUUUAAAAAAAAAAUUAAUAUUUUUAAGUGAUCCACAAAUCAGCAAGAGUGGGUGUGCAGGAGGGAGGCCAAAAGUAUUUUGUAUAGGUUCUUAAGGAGCUAGAAGUGAAAAUAAACAUAAUAAUUUUAAUUGUAAAACAAAAUAAAACAUCAAAAAUUAAGUGUUGUAUUUAAUAUAGUAACAUAUACUUGCAGAAAUUUUGUAGGAUUGAAUGAAAAAUGUUUUUUAUUAACAAACACUGUUGUGGGUCACUGGAAAUAGAGGCCGUAAAUGGAAGUGAAUGUACAUAUCCCUUACAUCUGUUUAAUCCCAUAAGUAGUCACUUGCUUAUAUCUGGAAACCCAAGAAAUUAUGUGAUCUGUUAUACUGAAAUAGAAGAAAUAACACAGUAUUAAGAAUUCCUUUUGUUUUACAAGUUGUCAGCAUUAAGUCAUAUAAAAGAUCAAGCAAUCAAAAUCCAGAGCUUCAAAGAGGCUCUUGAAAAUUUUACUGCUUCAGUAUUUCUUUCCAAAGGGAUGGCUAUUUAUUUUGAUUUGCAUCCAUACUUUAGGACAAGGUUAAAUUAAGUUUAUAGGAAGGAGACUAAUCAGAUGCCUGUCUGGUCAAAACACCUCUGUCUAAUGUUGUGUCUGACAAAACUUUGAUGUCACAACCCUGACUUCCUGUCCAAACUGACUUUUGAUUUUAAAAAGAACGUGGCUUUCCAUUUGACAGCAUUCCCUCUGUGAAAUUCAGGGCAUAUUCCACAAGGAUCUUCAUUUGUUUCAGCAAGAUGAAAGUUCAUGGUAAUAUCGUAAAUGGGGGAAAAAUGGAUUUAAAGUAAUGCAAAAGACUUAGAAUCUUCUAAAAUUCAUGAAAAAGAAGUAAAGGUGAACGAGAACUGAAUAGAAAGCCAAAUGGCCUCUAGUUAAGAAAGUACUAAGCUAAAUAGAUUUAGACUACAUGUUUGUGUGUGUUAACUAAAAAGUUAUUACUAAGAUUUUGGUAAUGCAAUUUCUUGGGGUAGAAAUUGUCCCCCUGCAAUGAUGAGCUCACAGAGCCCUUUUCAAAACAACCAUCUGCUGUUGGAAAAGGCAAGAGAAGUGGGCAUUCCCUUGGAUGCUUUUUGGUAUCACAGGCUUAGUGUAAAGUAUGUUGUAUCUUACAUCCUAGGUUGCCUCAGUUUCUUCACCUGAGUCUCAGAAAUCUUGGAAUAGAAUCCUUAAAUAAAAGGAGAUAAUGUAAUUGAAAAGGAGAUAGUAGAAGAAAAGGACGAUUAUGACAGAAGCUGGAGACAAUUCCAAGAGAAUGUUAGCAUGACUUCUUUUCUCUGAACAGCCAACUGAGAGGUGAUCCUCCUUUCUGAACCAGUAAUAAAUUGCUAUGGCUGCAUGUAAUGGUAGGUGUUUGACCAAUGAAGCACUCAGUGCAGUGCAGGACAUACUGGAAAACCAUUUUGAAAGCAGGGGGACGGGGGGUGUGGCUAGAAAAUUAUUAAAUAAUGCUACUGAUGAUUAUUUGGUGAGCAGGUGCAGCUGCCAGAAUGCAUUUAUCUUUGCACUAGUGGAGCAAGUGGAGGAGUGUGGACAAAAGAAGAGAAGAAAAAGGGGGCAGAAAGGAGAGAGAUGGAGAAAGGAUAAGAGUUCUUUGAGGCUGCUUCUGCUCUUCCAGGAUGUGUUCUUUGCCAUCUGUAGUGAGUGGUAUAUGCUGGUAACUUGUACUUUUAAUCUUCCUUUAGCACCAUAUCUCCAUGGGAAGGUAGCAGGUUUAUGAAGUUAUGAGUAUGUGGACAGCUCCUUGAAUGAAUGAGAAACUCCAUUGCAUUGUAAGGGAUGAGACAGACACUACUCAAUGACACCCAUGUACACUUGGCUGUAUUUAGCAAAAGGGUAAGGCUGUCCUGUCAAACUAUGCAAGUUCCCCUUUUGAAGCUGUGAGCAAAUGGUUGUUUCCUCCAGCAGUUCCUGUAACUGCUUGUAUGCAGUCUACAUUCACAGUAUGUCCUGGGUAGUUACUAGAUAGAGUGAUGUGUGCUGCAUCCUGAUUCUUUGGAUAUCAGCAUCCCAUAAAUUCACAAUAAUUUUUUGGUUUGUGGAAAUAAGAGUGUACUAGGAUUUCUAAUAUCGGGGACUGUGUUGGCGUCAAGGUGUCAUCUUCAUAUGCUGAAGCAGAUGGUUUAGUCUGUGUUGCAGUCCCGCAUAAAGGACCAGAGUACAGGUCAGGUGAUGUUUAUAUAUAGUGUAUUUUCAGAAAACAUGUAGAUAAGGAAGUAGUAGCUCUGUCCCAGGACUGUACCUAGCUCUAGGAAUCUUUCCAGUUUGACAUGGAGCAUCGAGGUCUGUCUGAAGGAGUCCUGGUUGUGAGAGAGCAUGUCCUGUUGAAUCUUCUGGGCUGGAUGAAAUAGGAAGGAAGGGCAUCUCAGGUAUUUUUUCUUUCAUCACCUUAGGCCUGGUUGUAUUCUGCUUGUUCAGGUGUAGAAGUCUAACAGUGGUGUCAGCAUCAGAAGCUUCCCUGCCUCUAGACUGGAGUGAGGGAGACAGAGUACUAACACCUUUAGAGCAGUGUCUGUGAAGAUGGACAGCAGCAUUUUGGGUUUAUUAGAAGCAGCUGAUAACUCUUACCUCAGUGGUAGGCUUGAGUGUACAAUACAUAAAUGAUCUGGAGAUUUUGGAGGGGACUGAAUGUUUGAUACCAUGUUUCCAGAAAGUUGAAGAGAUAAGUGGAUGUUGCACUGCAUGUUGUGUUCUCAGCAAAGCAAGUAUCUCAGCAGGUCAGCGAUUUCAGAAAUAGUGCUGUCCUGAAAGAACAUUUUUUGAACUCCUUUUUGCUGUUGAAGCUGAACACAGUUCCAUCUGUCUGAAACUGCACAUUGAGAGCUUCACAGAGGCACUUAAAGAAGUUACGUACUUAUGCAUAAGGAAUAAGAUGCUGAAGGAAUCAUAUUUCAUAAGAGUGAAUCUAUUAAUCUUACCAUAAAAUGGUUACAUUUUGUACACAUAUUCACUUUAAAAAAUGUUCAUGGUAUACUGAUCAUCAAGAGGAAAAGUCCAUACUGAUGUAUCUUCACCAUCUUUCUGAGCUGAACAUUGUGGGUAUAUGUUUUUGCUAUGAGAAUCUACUUACUUAAUACUUUUCCAUACAUCUGCUAAUAUCUGCUAAUUCCACAGAAAGUGUACAAAUUUUCAAUUUACCCAAUUUGUGGAUAAAAGCUCUAUGUAACUACUGACCCUGAUUUAGGAAUGUAUCAGCUCUAGAAACGAUGGAAUUGUCUUCAGGGCUCACAUGUCAACAAAAAUCAGCUGGUUCGCAUGUGAAGCUUGGCGAGGAAAACGCUGCAGCGGCACUGGCGCCGUCCCUGCUCCCUGCCUGCCUCUCCCAGACCUGCUGCCUUUAUUCAGCCGAGGUUUCCUUGCCUGUCUGCCACUGCUCCACAGUUAGCCCUUACACACCUGGGUCAGCCAGCCACUCAUCCGUGGGGAGUGGACAAAAAGCCACUUGAAACCCUGCUCACUGAUACAGGAGGGACAGCAGCCUCCCCUGAUUACUUGAUGCAAUGUGAGCAAGUCCAGAGAGAAAGGUAAAGCAAAUCAGUGGUACUGUUUGCAGACAUACUGAUUCUCAUUCCUUUGAACCGAAACUUUCUCUUCCAGACGUGAUUUUAUGGAAAUAUUUAAAGUGUAUCUCCUAAAGAUUUCAAAUAAGACACCAAAUCAAAAGAUUGGCUGCAAAUCUGCAUCUAAUAAGCAACUGAGAAUUGUGUUCAUCUGGGCUGUGCACAGACUGGCACUGCAGCCUCAGGAAAAGGGCAAAUAUGGCCCUUUUUUUUUUCAAAUGUGCUGUGAAAACCCUGCUCGCUGUAGGGACGGGAGUGUUCAAAAGCAACAGUGACAAUCUACAUUACUAGCAGCUCCAUCAGAAGUAUAUGUGCCCAGGUGCCCUGUCUCCACAGAUGUUUUGCUCUCGUUUUGAGCUGAAAAUGUAACUUUUUUGUUGAGAAAGGCUUUCAGAUCUUGUUAAAAAUAGCCUAAUAGUAGCUUUGGAUUUGAGUGACAAGCUAGUUGUUACUAUGCAGUUUUCAUAGUAAUAAUCUAGUACUUUUGACCCAAAGAAACAGUGAUAUCAUUCCUUGAGAGGGAGGACAGAGUGACAAAAUCUGGAAGCCCCGUGACGACACUGAAUCUCUUUGUUGUCAAGGCAAGCUGUGAAAUCAUCUGCUUUCCUGCCAAAUCCCACUGAGGAGUAAGCAGUGUCUUUCACAGAACACACAUUUUGCAGGAAGAGAUGGGGCACAGAAGAAGCACAUUCCUGCCCCAUGGGAGGUGUGCUGCCCCAUACCCUGUGACUUCUGGAAUUGAUGCAAAUGUGUUUUCCCACCUCUGUCAGCAACACCAUCACUAAAGUGAGCAGACGCUUUCUAAGGUUCUUUAUAUACUGUGACUUCAUCAAAAAUUCUGCUGGAGUACUGUCACCAAUGUGUUUCACAGUUAUUUGGGAAUGGGGGAGAAUGAGAUCUCUGAAUCCCUCAGUCAGGCUCCACUGCCAACCAGGUAGUCUGUACUUGUUGGAAUUCUCCAUCCUUGUUUGUGUUUGCUAUUAGUCUUUGGUUGUGAGCUAAGCGGGGGAUGAUAGGAAGUGAGAGGUAAACCUUAAUAAAACUUUUUUUGUCAUUCA